rnacentral:rRNA from 1 species
GAGUCGAGCGGCGGACGGGUGAGUAACGACGUGAACAAUCUGUCCCAUACAGGGGGAGUACCACGUUGGAAACAGGUGCUAAUACCGCAUAAGACCACGCAGCCGCAUGGCUAAGGGGUAAAAGGGAUACCGGUAUGGGGUGAGUUCGCGUCCGAUUAGAUAGUUGGUGAGGUAACGGCCCACCAAGUCAACGAUCGGUAGCCGACCUGAGAGGGUGAUCGGCCACAUUGGAACUGAGAGACGGUCCAAAACUCCUACGGGAGGCAGCAGUGGGGAAUAUUGGGCAAUGGGCGAAAGACCCUGACCCAGCAACGCCGCGUGAGGGUAAGAAGGUUUUCGGGAUUGUAAACCUCUAUCGUAGAGGACGAAGAGAAUGACGGUACUCUACAAGGAAGCCCCGGCUAACUACGUGCCAGCCGCAGC